GGCCGCAGUAUAUUGACUGUGCAAAGGUAGCAUAAUCAUUAGUCUUUUAAUUGAAGGCUGGUAUGAAUGGUUGGAUGAGGUAAAUUCUGUUUUAUGUUAAUUUGUGUUGAAUUUAGAUUUUAAGUAAAAAGACUUAGAUGAUAUUAAGGGACGAGAAGACCCUAUAGAGUUUAAUAAAUGUAUUAAUUAGUUGAGUUAUGAAUGUAAUUUUUUAUUAUUAUAAAAUUUAUUUAAUUGGGGUGAUUGAAAGAUAAAUGUAACUCUUUUUUAUAUUUAAUAUUUUGAUUAGUUAUUUGAUCCAUAUUUAAUGAUUAAAAGAUUAAAUUACCUUAGGGAUAACAGCAUAA
rnacentral:rRNA from 1 species